rnacentral:rRNA from 1 species
CGUGUCGUGAGAUGUUGGUUAAGGUCCGUAACGAGCGCAACCCUUCGUCCUUAGUUACCUAGCACGUUAUGGUGGGCGACUCUAAGGAGACUGCCGGUGACAAACCGGAGGAAGGUGGGGAUGACGUCAAGUCAUCAUGGCCCUUACGGCCUGGGCUACACACGUGCUACAAUGGUCGGUACAAAGGGUUGCCAAGCCGCGAGGUGGAGCUAAUCCCAUAAAACCGAUCGUAGUCCGGAUCGCAGUCUGCAACUCGACUGCGUGAAGUCGGAAUCGCUAGUAAUCGUGAAUCAGAAUGUCACGGUGAAUACGUUCCCGGGCCUU